UACGUAGGGUGCGAGCGUUAAUCGGAAUUACUGGGCGUAAAGCGUGCGCAGGCGGUUUUGUAAGCCAGAUGUGAAAGCCCCGGGCUUAACCUGGGAAUGGCAUUUGGGACUGCAAGGCUGGAGUGUGGCAGAGGAGACUGGAAUUCCUGGUGUAGCAGUGAAAUGCGUAGAUAUCAGGAGGAGUACCGAUGGCGAAGGCAGGUCUCUGGGCUGACACUGACGCUCAUGCACGAAAGCGUGGGGAGCAAACAGG
rnacentral:rRNA from 1 species